rnacentral:rRNA from 1 species
UACGAAGGGGGCUAGCGUUGCUCGGAAUCACUGGGCGUAAAGGGUGCGUAGGCGGAUCUUUAAGUCAGGGGUGAAAUCCUGGAGCUCAACUCCAGAACUGCCUUUGAUACUGAGGAUCUCGAGUUCGGGAGAGGUGAGUGGAACUGCGAGUGUAGAGGUGAAAUUCGUAGAUAUUCGCAAGAACACCAGUGGCGAAGGCGGCUCACUGGCCCGAUACUGACGCUGAGGAGCGAAAGCGUGGGGAGCGAACAGGA